GGAGAGACUCCCAAGAGUUGAAGAACUCCUUCCUGUGAAGCUAUCGAAGAGGUUUAAUCGAAAGUGCUAAUCGAUUCUCUCCUUCAAAGAUCACAUUCCGAUUUUUGUACUCCUCCUUGGCAGCAAACGACUCCCUCUGCUCUAGUGACGACUCCUCUUCUCGUUAGAUACACCAGCACAUAAUUGUUAAAAUCUUGGUGGAAUUGUUCAAUACUCAAAUACUGGAAUUGUGGGGGAUUGUUCAUUUGUUUGUUCUUUCGAAGUUGACCCAUCUUGACUUGGUAUAUUAAUUGCUCUUCUUUCUCUACCUUGAUCUGAGUUUUAAUUUUUGUUGGGAUUUAGUUUAGUUUACUCUCUCUGUUGAUGUGUUGCUAUAAUAAUUUUUUGAUAAAAUCUUUUCAAGGCUAUGAUUUACUAAAUAUGUGUUUAUAUAUACUGUUCAAUCAUGCUGUUGAAAUAAAUAGUUUUAGAUAUUGGGUAAUUAUCUAAAACUAUUUAUUUCAUCUGUUCAAAUGAUAAUAAACUUAUUAAGCUUAUACUUGUGACUUGUUCAAUUGUAGAUACCAUUGGAUAUUGUUAGUCAUUGAUCUAACAUUGAUGAUUGUGUACUUACUUGAUCCGAUUAAUUCUAAAAUAAACACAAGCUUUGAAAUUGUAAUA